GAGUUUGAUCCUGGCUCAGGACGAACGCUGGCGGCGUGCCUAAUACAUGCAAGUCGAGCGGACAGAAGGGAGCUUGCUCCCGGAUGUUAGCGGCGGACGGGUGAGUAACACGUGGGUAACCUGCCUGUAAGACUGGGAUAACUCCGGGAAACCGGAGCUAAUACCGGAUAGUUCCUUGAACCGCAUGGUUCAAGGAUGAAAGACGGUUUCGGCUGUCACUUACAGAUGGACCCGCGGCGCAUUAGCUAGUUGGUGAGGUAACGGCUCACCAAGGCGACGAUGCGUAGCCGACCUGAGAGGGUGAUCGGCCACACUGGGACUGAGACACGGCCCAGACUCCUACGGGAGGCAGCAGUAGGGAAUCUUCCGCAAUGGACGAAAGUCUGACGGAGCAACGCCGCGUGAGUGAUGAAGGUUUUCGGAUCGUAAAGCUCUGUUGUUAGGGAAGAACAAGUGCAAGAGUAACUGCUUGCACCUUGACGGUACCUAACCAGAAAGCCACGGCUAACUACGUGCCAGCACG
rnacentral:rRNA from 1 species